rnacentral:rRNA from 1 species
GACGAACGCUGGCGGCGUGCCUAAUACAUGCAAGUAGAACGCUGAAGGAGGAGCUUGCUUCUCCGGAUGAGUUGCGAACGGGUGAGUAACGCGUAGGUAACCUGCCUGGUAGCGGGGGAUAACUAUUGGAAACGAUAGCUAAUACCGCAUAAGAGUAGAUGUCGCAUGACAUUUGCUUAAAAGGUGCAACUGCACCACUACCAGAUGGACCUGCGUUGUAUUAGCUAGUUGAUGAGGUAACGGCUCACCAAGGCAACGAUACAUAGCCGACCUGAGAGGGUGAUCGGCCACACUGGGACUGAGACACGGCCCAGACUCCUACGGGAGGCAGCAGUAGGGAAUCUUCGGCAAUGGACGGAAGUCUGACCGAGCAACGCCGCGUGAGUGAAGAAGGUUUUCGGAUCGUAAAGCUCUGUUGUAAGAGAAGAACGAGUGUGAGAGUGGAAAGUUCACACUGUGACGGUAUCUUACCAGAAAGGGACGGCUAACUACGUG